rnacentral:rRNA from 1 species
CUAGUAAUGGCAGGUCAGCAUACUGCCGUGAAUACGUUCCCGGGCCUUGUACACACCGCCCGUCACACCAUGAGAGUUGGGAAUACCCGAAGCCUGUGAGCCAACAAACGAGGCAGCAGUCGAAGGUAGAAUCAAUGAUUGGGGUGAAGUCGUAACAAGGUACC